AUGGCUGUCGUCAGCUCGUGUCGUGAGAUGUUGGGUUAAGUCCCGCAACGAGCGCAACCCUCGCCUCUAGUUGCCAUCAUUUAGUUGGGCACUCUAGAGGGACCGCCGGUGGUAAGCCGGAGGAAGGUGGGGAUGACGUCAAGUCCUCAUGGCCCUUACAGGGUGGGCUACACACGUGCUACAAUGGCGACUACAGAGGGCUGCGAUCCUGCGAAGGUUAGCCAAUCCUUAAAAGUCGUCUCAGUUCGGAUUGCACUCUGCAACUCGAGUGCAUGAAGUUGGAAUCGCUAGUAAUCGCGGAUCAGCAUGCCGCGGUGAAUACGUUCCCGGGCCUUGUACACACCGCCCGUCACACCAUGGGAGUUGGCUUUACCCGAAGACUGUGUGCUAACCGCAAGGAGGCAGCAGGCCACGGUAGGGUCAGCGACUGGGGUGAAGUCGUAACAAGGUAGCCGUAGGGGAACCUGCGGCUGGAUCACCUCCUUUCUAAGGAUGGACCUCAAGUCUGCUCACAGGCUUCUGGACCGUUCAAAGACAUUAAAUACAGGUGCAGAUCGCCGCCGUCUUCGUUUCUCUUUCCUUACAGUCCAUGCCGGUCAGCCUGCAGGCGCUCUAACGAGCUGCUCUUGCUGAUUGAGGCUGGACUGCGAUUGCGGAACUUGUCUCCCACAGCGUGUAAAAGCCUGUCGAAGACAGGCGCUAGUUUUGGGCCUGUAGCUCAGUUGGUUAGAGCACACGCCUGAUAAGCGUGAGGUCGGCAGUUCGAGUCUGCCUGGGCCCACCACCACACUUCGUGUGGUUUUGACCGAGGCGGCUGGUGCGACAGCUGAUCACGCUCAGACCUCAAGCGCACACUUAACGGGGCCAUAGCUCAGUUGGUAGAGCGCGUGCUUUGCAAGCAUGAGGUCGUCGGUUCGAGACCGUCUGGCUCCACCACCUGCCUUCGGCAGGCCUUGACCAAAAAUAGCGCCUAGACACGCCGCAAUCGCACAACAAGUUUCCCGCCUGGCGGCGAUCACCUUCUAGGUGACGCUGGGUUGGGUUGACAUUGUGAAUGAAGGGUUUGGCCGUUUAGGUCCGAUCUAGAGAAAGACAUCGUCUGACAGAUUACCAAGAUCCAGGCGCAGGUCGAUUAACGCCUCCAGGCGCAUGCCUGGGGUGUGAUCACCGUGCAUGGGUUUUGCUGAGAACGAUCAAGCAAAUAAGGGCUUCUGACGGAUGCCUUGGCACUGAGAGGCUAUGAAGGACGUGGCACGCUGCGAUAAGUUGUGGGGAGGUGCGAGCACCCUUUGAUCCACAAAUUUCCGAAUGGGGAAACCCGG
rnacentral:sRNA from 1 species